rnacentral:rRNA from 1 species
UACGUAGGGUGCAAGCGUUAAUCGGAAUUACUGGGCGUAAAGCGUGCGCAGGCGGUUAUGUAAGACAGAUGUGAAAUCCCCGGGCUCAACCUGGGAACUGCAUUUGUGACUGCAUCGCUAGAGUACGGCAGAGGGGGAUGGAAUUCCGCGUGUAGCAGUGAAAUGCGUAGAUAUUCGGAGGAACACCGAUGGCGAAGGCAAUCCCCUGGGCCUGUACUGACGCUCAUGCACGAAAGCGUGGGGAGCGAACAGG